GGAUGUGAGGGUGAUCUGGCUGCGACAUCUGCCACCCCAUUGAUCGCCAGGGUUGAUUUGGCUGAUCUGGCUGGCUAGGCGGGUGUCCCCUUCCCCCCUCACCGCUCCAUGUGCGUUCCUCCCGAAGCUGCGCACUCAGUGGAAGACUACGACCAUCCCAGAUAGAAGGAGUGUACCGUUCUUUGGUCAAUGGUGUAUGAUAGCUGCACUCCCCUGCUACAACCUCCAAACAAGCUCCAUAGCUCACUAUUUUGAUUUCAAAUCUGCCAGCAGUCAGCCAUCUGAGCUUGCAAUUAUUAGGAGGAAGUGGUGAUGAAGAUAUC